GACCUGGUGGUGCAGUGGUAACACACUUGCUUAAAAUCAGUCCAACACUUUCAGCUGUGCAAGAGUCCCCUGUUCAACUCAAGGCUGGGUCA